rnacentral:rRNA from 1 species
CGGACGGUGAGUAACGCGUGGAUAACCUGCCUUUCACAGGGGGAUAACAGCUGGAAACGGCUGCUAAUACCGCAUGAGCCUCUUUUGUCGCAUGAGAAGAGAGGGAAAGAGAAAUCGGUGAGAGAUGGAUCCGCGUCCGAUUAGCUAGUUGGAGGGGUAACAGCCCACCAAGGCGACGAUCGGUAGCCGACCUGAGAGGGUGGACGGCCACAUUGGGACUGAGACACGGCCCAAACUCCUACGGGAGGCAGCAG